GGGUAUAUAGCUCAAGUGGUAGACCACGUGCUUAGCAUGCAUUAGGUCCUGGGUUCAAUCCCCAGUACCUCCU
rnacentral:tRNA from 1 species